rnacentral:rRNA from 1 species
CCUACGGGAGGCUGCAGUGAGGAAUAUUGGUCAAUGGGCGCGAGCCUGAACCAGCCAAGUAGCGUGAAGGAUGACUGCCCUACGGGUUGUAAACUUCUUUUAUAUAGGAAUAAAGUGAGGCACGUGUGCCUUUUUGUAUGUACUUUAUGAAUAAGGAUCGGCUAACUCCGUGCCAGCAGCCGCGGUAAUCCGGAGGAUCCGAGCGUUAUCCGGAUUUAUUGGGUUUAAAGGGAGCGUAGAUGGGUUGUUAAGUCAGUUGUGAAAGUUUGCGGCUCAACCGUAAAAUUGCAAUUGAGACUGGCAGCCUUGAGUACAGUAGAGGUAGGCGGAAUUCGUGGUGUAGCGGUGAAAUGCUUAGAUAUCACGAAGAACUCCGAUUGCGAAGGCAGCUUACUAAACUGCAACUGACAUUGAGGCUCGAAAGUGUGGGUAUCAAACAGGAUUAGAUACCCUGGUAGUC